CCUACGUGGGGCAGCAGUGAGGAAUAUUGGUCAAUGGCCGGAAGGCUGAACCAGCCAUGCCGCGUGAAGGUCAGUGCCCUAUGGGCGUUAAACUUCUUUUGUGCGGGAGCAAUAAUGGUCACGUGUGGCCAGACGAGAGUACCGUACGACUAAGCAUCGGCUAACUCCGUGCCCGCAGCCGCGGUAAUACGGGGGAUGCAAGCGUUACCCGGAUUUAUUGGGUUUAAAGGGUGCGUAGGCUGUGAGGUAAGUCAGCGGUGAAAUGCCCCCGCUCAACGGGGUGAAGUGCCAUUGAUACUGCCUUGCUGGAAUGCGGAUGCCGUGGGAGGAAUGUGUGGUGUAGCGGUGAAAUGCAUAGAUAUCACACAGAACACCGAUUGCGAAGGCAUCUCACGAAUCCGCGAUUGACGCUGAUGCACGAAAGCGUGGGUAUCAAACAGGAUUAGAUACCCUUGUAGUC
rnacentral:rRNA from 1 species